UACAGUUCAACCGCUAUUUUAGGAGAUAAAGAGCAGAUGCUCUAUGAAGGAAGCUGAGAAUUCUUAGAAUGCUCUUCUAAGGAAGCUGGGAAUUCACCUGGAUAAUCAACUUUGUGACCUCAAAGCUGCUUCACCACUUAUGGGGUAUUCAGCUAGCUCGCCUGUCAAGAAUUCAGAAGAAAUGGAAAUAAAAAGCAUGAAGACAUAUAGGCUGAAGCCUCAAGUCACCAGAUAAUUUUUGUGUAUAAAAUAAAUUUAUUUGAUACAAACUGAUUCCUCACAGAACCCAUCAAAGCACAAUGUAAAAUAUACUGAUAUUUGAUUUGGAGGGAAUGCUGAAAGAAUUAGGAAAACAAUGACAAAAAGUAUAAAACUCA
rnacentral:lncRNA from 10 species